AUUUACUUAAUUAUUAAACUCCAUUAAAAAUACAUUAGAAUAAACAAAUAUUGAGGCCCAGAGAGCUCAAAAACAAACAAACAAACAAACAACAACAACAAAACAAGGUUGAUUUGCUUACUUGGAUUUUGCCGGAGAAUUGCAUGGGAGAAAAGAAGAGAAACCUGGUCCAAGCCAAAAGAUCGGACGCAUGGUAUAGAGAAAAACAAGAAGCAUCCCUCCAUAGCGUAUGCCCCACAAGAGACAAUUUCCCAGAGACCAGUAGCUGAGGCAGGUGUAGGAAGUGAAUGGGCCAUUAGAUGGAUGCCUGUGGAAGCUAAAGAAGGCGGAUCGGAGGAAGACAAUCCGACCUGGGGAGUGGAGGAG
rnacentral:lncRNA from 1 species